UGAAGUGAUUUCAUUAGGAAGAGCAAAGGAAGGCAAAGAGGAAGCUGUAGGCAGUAGGUGGUCCAUCUCAGGCUGCUUGGCUGAGGCUUCAGAAUACAUCAUUAAAUCUCCAGGGUUCAGAGUUGUGGCGUUCUCUGGAAAAUGAAAAAUAAGCAGAAGGUUCACUGUUUGACAUGAACUUUUCAGUGCCUACUAACGUGUCUGCUGUUGGCAUGGUGAAGGAGGCAGAUGAAGUCACGGUGGACAUUUUUGUUAAGUCAGGGAGUUCAGGAAGUGAAAUGCCAGACAUGUCUAGAAAUCCUGAAGAAAGGAAGUGUUCCAGUACCAUUUUAGAUUAACACAAAAUUCCAGAUUCAAGAAGAUACGUUAUGUGCAGAUUGAAAUCGUUUAACUCCAUAUUAUUUAUUAGAUAAACACUACUAAAUGUAACCUAUCAAGUCAGUGGAACAACUUUUACAGAAUCUUAACUUUGGUGAAGCUCCACAGUAGCAAAAUUCUGCAACUAUGAAACCCCCUGAAGUCAAAAAACUUUAAGGAAAACACCAAUGCUCAUACUUCUGCAUUUAAGUCUCAAACUUCUUUAAGACCUUUUUAGUUUACUUAAAUGCCACCUAAAGAGUUGCAGAGGACCGGAGGAAGGGGUGAGGCAUGCUGAAAAAAGCACACA